rnacentral:rRNA from 1 species
UUAAGCGACUAAGCGUACACGGUGGAUGCCCUGGCAGUCAGAGGCGAUGAAGGACGUGCUAAUCUGCGAAAAGCGUCGGUAAGGUGAUAUGAACCGUUAUAACCGGCGAUGUCCGAAUGGGGAAACCCAGUGCAAUUCGUUGCACUAUCGUUAACUGAAUACAUAGGUUAACGAGGCGAACCGGGGGAACUGAAACAUCUAAGUACCCCGAGGAAAAGAAAUCAACCGAGAUUCCCCCAGUAGCGGCGAGCGAACGGGGAGCAGCCCAGAGUCUGAAUCAGCUUGUGUGUUAGUGGAACGGUCUGGAAAGUCCGACGGUACAGGGUGAUAGUCCCGUACACCAAAAUGCACAGGCUGUGAACUCGAAGAGUAGGGCGGGACACGUGGUAUCCUGUCUGAAUAUGGGGGGACCAUCCUCCAAGGCUAAAUACUCCUGACUGACCGAUAGUGAACCAGUACCGUGAGGGAAAGGCGAAAAGAACCCCGGCGAGGGGAGUGAAAAAGAACCUGAAACCGUGUACGUACAAGCAGUGGGAGCACCUUCGGGUGUGACUGCGUACCUUUUGUAUAAUGGGUCAGCGACUUAUAUUCUGUAGCAAGGUUAACCGUAUAGGGGAGCCGCAGGGAAACCGAGUCUUAACUGGGCGUUAAGUUGCAGGGUAUAGACCCGAAACCCGGUGAUCUAGCCAUGGGCAGGUUGAAGGUUGGGUAACACUAACUGGAGGACCGAACCGACUAAUGUUGAAAAAUUAGCGGAUGACUUGUGGCUGGGGGUGAAAGGCCAAUCAAACCGGGAGAUAGCUGGUUCUCCCCGAAAGCUAUUUAGGUAGCGCCUCGUGAAUUCAUCUUCGGGGGUAGAGCACUGUUUCGGCUAGGGGGUCAUCCCGACUUACCAACCCGAUGCAAACUACGAAUACCGAAGAAUGUUAUCACGGGAGACACACGGCGGGUGCUAACGUCCGUCGUGAAGAGGGAAACAACCCAGACCGCCAGCUAAGGUCCCAAAGUCAUGGUUAAGUGGGAAACGAUGUGGGAAGGCACAGACAGCCAGGAUGUUGGCUUAGAAGCAGCCAUCAUUUAAAGAAAGCGUAAUAGCUCACUGGUCGAGUCGGCCUGCGCGGAAGAUGUAACGGGGCUAAACCAUGCACCGAAGCUGCGGCAGCGACACUAUGUGUUGUUGGGUAGGGGAGCGUUCUGUAAGCCUGCGAAGGUGACCUGUGAGGGUUGCUGGAGGUAUCAGAAGUGCGAAUGCUGACAUAAGUAACGAUAAAGCGGGUGAAAAGCCCGCUCGCCGGAAGACCAAGGGUUCCUGUCCAACGUUAAUCGGGGCAGGGUGAGUCGACCCCUAAGGCGAGGCCGAAAGGCGUAGUCGAUGGGAAACAGGUUAAUAUUCCUGUACUUGGUGUUACUGCGAAGGGGGGACGGAGAAGGCUAUGUUAGCCGGGCGACGGUUGUCCCGGUUUAAGCAUGUAGGCUGGUUGUCCAGGCAAAUCCGGAUAAUCAAGGCUGAGGUGUGAUGACGAGGCACUACGGUGCUGAAGUAACAAAUGCCCUGCUUCCAGGAAAAGCCUCUAAGCAUCAGGUAACAUUAAAUCGUACCCCAAACCGACACAGGUGGUCAGGUAGAGAAUACCAAGGCGCUUGAGAGAACUCGGGUGAAGGAACUAGGCAAAAUGGUGCCGUAACUUCGGGAGAAGGCACGCUGGUGUGUAGGUGAAGUCCCUGCGGAUGGAGCUGAGACCAGUCGAAGAUACCAGCUGGCUGCAACUGUUUAUUAAAAACACAGCACUGUGCAAACACGAAAGUGGACGUAUACGGUGUGACGCCUGCCCGGUGCCGGAAGGUUAAUUGAUGGGGUUAUCCGUAAGGAGAAGCUCUUGAUCGAAGCCCCGGUAAACGGCGGCCGUAACUAUAACGGUCCUAAGGUAGCGAAAUUCCUUGUCGGGUAAGUUCCGACCUGCACGAAUGGCGUAAUGAUGGCCAGGCUGUCUCCACCCGAGACUCAGUGAAAUUGAACUCGCUGUGAAGAUGCAGUGUACCCGCGGCAAGACGGAAAGACCCCGUGAACCUUUACUAUAGCUUGACACUGAACAUUGAGCCUUGAUGUGUAGGAUAGGUGGGAGGCUUUGAAGCGUGGACGCCAGUCUGCGUGGAGCCAACCUUGAAAUACCACCCUUUAAUGUUUGAUGUUCUAACGUUGGCCCCUGACCGGGGUUGCGGACAGUGUCUGGUGGGUAGUUUGACUGGGGCGGUCUCCUCCCAAAGCGUAACGGAGGAGCACGAAGGUUAGCUAAUCCUGGUCGGACAUCAGGAGGUUAGUGCAAUGGCAUAAGCUAGCUUGACUGCGAGCGUGACGGCGCGAGCAGGUGCGAAAGCAGGUCAUAGUGAUCCGGUGGUUCUGAAUGGAAGGGCCAUCGCUCAACGGAUAAAAGGUACUCCGGGGAUAACAGGCUGAUACCGCCCAAGAGUUCAUAUCGACGGCGGUGUUUGGCACCUCGAUGUCGGCUCAUCACAUCCUGGGGCUGAAGUAGGUCCCAAGGGUAUGGCUGUUCGCCAUUUAAAGUGGUACGCGAGCUGGGUUUAGAACGUCGUGAGACAGUUCGGUCCCUAUCUGCCGUGGGCGCUGGAGAAUUGAGGGGGGCUGCUCCUAGUACGAGAGGACCGGAGUGGACGCAUCACUGGUGUUCGGGUUGUCAUGCCAAUGGCACUGCCCGGUAGCUAAAUGCGGAAGAGAUAAGUGCUGAAAGCAUCUAAGCACGAAACUUGCCCCGAGAUGAGUUCUCCCUGAGACUUUAAGUCUCCUGAAGGAACGUU